AUGGCCACGUCAAGCAAAUGCCUCUGGCCGACCUCGCCGCUGCGGAAAGCAGUGCGCUGCACCUCCUCCUCGUCGUCCUCGACUCCGCCGGCUCGCCGGUCAGCAAACUACGCUCCCAGCUCCUGGGACUACGACUCCCUCCUGCUUUCGCUCGACGAUCGCAGACAUGACACCCAUGAUCAGUUACGUGCACGCUUGGAUGGGUUGCGAGCUAGGAGCUUCGAUAAGUUGAAGGCCGAAGUGAGGGAGCGGCUGAUGGUGGUGAGCGGAGGUGACGACCAACCUGCAAAGCUCAGGCUCGUCGACACACUGCAACGGCUCGGUAUCGCCUACCACUUCGACGACGAGAUCACCGACAUCCUCACCACUAUCCAUAGUGCAAAAAAUCAUCAUUGGAGCCGUGAUGAUGAUGAUGAUGACGUUGCUUCCGCGGCCUUGAGAUUCAGGUUGCUCAGGGAGAGUGGCUUCCCAGUCCACUUCCCUGCACGUAAAUCUCUGGAAGAUCUCAGGCGCGGAAUAGAUGAUGAUGUCAAGGGGCUCCUCUCACUCUAUGAGGCUUCAUACCUUACGUUUGAAGGCGAGGAAGCAUUGGACGAGGCAAGAGCAUUUUCCAAGAAAGCUCUCAUAAAGCUCUUGCCAUCCAUGGAUCACCACUUACGGCGUAGUGUAGUUCGUUCUUUGGACCUUCCAUUGCACCGGAGGUCUCCUAGACUAGAAGCAAGAUGGUUCAUAGAUCACUAUGCUAGUGAUGAGAGCAAUUCCGACCCGUUGCUCGUUAGAUUUGCAACGAAGGACUUCAACAAUGUUCAAAGUGUGCAUCAGGAAGAACUCGCAAGACUGGCAAGGUGGUGGAAGGGAACCGCCCUUACUGAAAAAUUGGGGUUCGCCAGGGAUCGUCUCAUGGAGUGCUUCCAUUACGCAAAUGGAAUUGUGUGGGAGCCAAAUAAUGGAGCAUGUCGAGAAGUGCUUGCUAAAGUCGCCAACCUAAUAGUUCACUUAGAUGAUGUUUAUGAUGUGUAUGGAACUCCAGAUGAACUUGUUCUCUUCACUGACGCCAUUGGAAGAUGGGAAGAAAGUCCUUGUGAAAUGCUCCCUGAAUACAUGCAAGCACUCUAUUCCGUCGUGUACAACACGUCCGCUGAGGUGGCUGAAAAUGUGUUUAAACAACAUGGUUGUGACACCCGUUAUGUUCUUCAGAAAGCUUGGGGAGACAUGGCGGAGUCUUUCCUGGUGGAGGCAAAGUGGCAGCAUGGAAACCACAGACCAACACUCCAUGAGUAUCUGGACAAUGGAUCAAUUUCAUCUUCUGCGCCACUGCUACUGCAACAUGCAUUUCCCCUGCUCCGCGUGGAAGAAAAGCUCACCUCAAUCUCUAUUGCUAAAGUUGGAGGCUACCCAAAAUUAGUUCAGUCUGCAUCGUUAGUUCUUCGCCUCUGCAACGACUCUGCAACCCACUCUAUAAGGACAAUCAAUCCAACUUUUUUUGCUGAGCUGGAGCGAGGGGAUGCACCAUCAUCAAUAGCUAUUCACAUGCCCGAGAACAGCUCCAGUGAGCAAGAGUCCCGCGAAGCCAUGGAAGAUCUUACCAUGGAAGCCUGGAAGUCAAUUAAUGAAGAUGCAUUCAAACAUUGCCGAUUUUCUAGAUCUUUCGCCAAGACUUGCGUGAAUUUGGCUCGAAUCUCACAUUGUGUUUACCAAGGCUGCGAUGGUUUUGGUGCGCCGGAUGGUCAGAACAAAAGGCAAAUUAAAGAGUUGUUCUUGGACUCUAUCAUGAGUGAGAAACAUUAA
rnacentral:rRNA from 1 species